UCGUUAAACCUCUGCAUCCAG
rnacentral:miRNA from 1 species